UAGGGAUGAUGAUGAUUUAAUCGAAAGGGUCUUUGCUAAGGGUAUCCCCACAUUCGCGAGACAUGACCGUAAUAUCGUAAGGCAACAAAGAGAGGGUUACCCUAGAGGUGCAAAUGUGGAAAUGAUUGGAUUCAGAUAUAUUAUCUUGAAUUAAUUUAUCUAAAUUCGAUUAUUUAUCUUUCCAUGCAAUCCUAUUAGCAUAUAUCUAGACAGUUAUAUUCACAGUAUGGAGAAAUUAAAGUGCGAAAAAUAAGACUACGCUAUUACAUGGCUUCGGGAUGGGGGGUACAUAAUUUAAAAGGGGAUAUAAAAUAUCUAAAUCUUAAUUAAC
rnacentral:lncRNA from 1 species